rnacentral:rRNA from 1 species
CCCAGACUCCUACGGGAGGCAGCAGUGGGGAAUAUUGGGCAAUGGGCGCAAGCCUGACCCAGCAACGCCGCGUGAAGGAAGAAGGCUUUCGGGUUGUAAACUUCUUUUCUCAGGGACGAAGCAAGUGACGGUACCUGAGGAAUAAGCCACGGCUAACUACGUGCCAGCAGCCGCGGUAAUACGUAGGUGGCAAGCGUUAUCCGGAUUUACUGGGUGUAAAGGGCGUGUAGGCGGGAAAGCAAGUCAGGUGUGAAAACCAUGGGCUCAACCUGUGGCCUGCAUUUGAAACUGUUUUUCUUGAGUACUGGAGAGGCAGACGGAAUUCCUAGUGUAGCGGUGAAAUGCGUAGAUAUUAGGAGGAACACCAGUGGCGAAGGCGGCCUGCUGGACGACAACUGACGGUGAGGCGCGAAAGCGUGGGGAGCAAACAGGAUUAGAUACCCUGGUAAAU